AACGAACGCUGGCGGCAUGCCUAACACAUGCAAGUCGAACGAGACCUUCGGGUCUAGUGGCGCACGGGUGCGUAACGCGUGGGAACCUGCCUUUAGGUUCGGAAUAACUCAGAGAAAUUUGAGCUAAUACCGGAUGAUGUCUUCGGACUAAAGAUUUAUCGCCUUUAGAUGGGCCCGCGUUGGAUUAGCUAGUUGGUGGGGUAAAGGCCUACCAAGGCGACGAUCCAUAGCUGGUCUGAGAGGAUGAUCAGCCACACUGGGACUGAGACACGGCCCAGACUCCUACGGGAGGCAGCAGUGGGGAAUAUUGGACAAUGGGCGAAAGCCUGAUCCAGCAAUGCCGCGUGAGUGAUGAAGGCCUUAGGGUUGUAAAGCUCUUUUACCCGAGAUGAUAAUGACAGUAUCGGGAGAAUAAGCUCCGGCUAACUCCGUG
rnacentral:rRNA from 1 species